CAGUCGCCACGGUAACACGAAGGGGGCUAGCGUUGCUCGGAAUCACUGGGCGUAAAGGGUGCGUAGGCGGGUCUUUAAGUCAGGGGUGAAAUCCUGGAGCUCAACUCCAGAACUGCCUUUGAUACUGAAGAUCUUGAGUUCGGGAGAGGUGAGUGGAACUGCGAGUGUAGAGGUGAAAUUCGUAGAUAUUCGCAAGAACACCAGUGGCGAAGGCGGCUCACUGGCCCGAUACUGACGCUGAGGCACGAAAGCGUGGGGAGCAAACAGGAUUAGAGACCCCUGUAGUCCCUGUCUCUUAUAC
rnacentral:rRNA from 1 species